CGUACACUCCUACGGGAGGCAGCAGUGGGGAAUAUUGCACAAUGGGCGCAAGCCUGAUGCAGCCAUGCCGCGUGUAUGAAGAAGGCCUUCGGGUUGUAAAGUACUUUCAGCGGGGAGGAAGGCGAUAAGGUUAAUAACCUUGUCGAUUGACGUUACCCGCAGAAGAAGCACCGGCUAACUCCGUGCCAGCAGCCGCGGUAAUACGGAGGGUGCAAGCGUUAAUCGGAAUUACUGGGCGUAAAGCGCACGCAGGCGGUCUGUCAAGUCGGAUGUGAAAUCCCCGGGCUCAACCUGGGAACUGCAUUCGAAACUGGCAGGCUAGAGUCUUGUAGAGGGGGGUAGAAUUCCAGGUGUAGCGGUGAAAUGCGUAGAGAUCUGGAGGAAUACCGGUGGCGAAGGCGGCCCCCUGGACAAAGACUGACGCUCAGGUGCGAAAGCGUGGGGAGCAAACAGGAUUAGAUACCCGUGUAGUCCCAUGA
rnacentral:rRNA from 1 species